rnacentral:rRNA from 1 species
GUGAGGAAUAUUGGUCAAUGGGCGGAAGCCUGAACCAGCCAAGUCGCGUGAAGGAAGAAGGAUCUAUGGUUUGUAAACUUCUUUUGAAGGGGGAUAAAGUGCGUCACGAGUGGUGCAUUGCAGGUACCCUUGGAAUAAGCAUCGGCUAACUCCGUGCCAGCAGCCGCGGUAAUACGGAGGAUGCGAGCGUUAUCCGGAUUUAUUGGGUUUAAAGGGUGCGUGGGUGGCUUUUUAAGUCAGCGGUGAAAACUGGCGGCUCAACCGCAAGAGUGCCGUUGAAACUGGGGAGCUAGAGUAUGAACGAGGUAGGCGGAAUGUGUGGUGUAGCGGUGAAAUGCAUAGAUAUCACGCAGAACUCCGAUAGCGAAGGCAGCUUACCAGGCCAUAACAGACACUGAAGCACGAAAGCGUGGGGAUCGAACAGGAUUAGAUACCCGAGUAGUCC